GACGUCGAAUAUCGACGUCAUAAACACCAAAGUUGAUCGUGUUUAUGACGUCGAAUAUCGACGUCAUAAACACCAAAGUUGAUCGUGUUUAUGACGCCGAAUAUCGACGUCAUAAACACCAAAGUUGAUCGUGUUUAUGACGUCGAAUAUCGACGUCAUAAACACCAAAGUUGUUCGUGUUUAUGACGUCGAAUAUCGACGUGAUAAACACCAAAGUUGUUCGUGUUUAUGACGUCGAAUAUCGACGUC
rnacentral:miRNA from 1 species